UCCGCCCACACUUAACAGGUGGUCUGAGGUGCUGCUCAUCAGCAACCGCGUACACUUAACAGUAGUUGGCUUUUCUCAGUCAUAACUUUGCUGUAACCACGUGAUGCUACUUCUGCUGCUGCUCACGUUAUUGUUAGCUUUGCAGUAAAAUAAACAAGUUAGCAUGCCACCAGUUUGCUUCAGGACAGCUAACGUUACUGCACGGAGGAAAUAAUGCUGGGUAAAUGUUAGUCAUCAACCGUCUGCUCUGAACAGCACAAGCCGGAAGCCGAGAUUCGUGUCCACCUGUUGGCAGCUUCAAGUCUUCUCAAGGGAUUUAUCUUCCCUUAGAUGUCAGGAAUCGCGAUUUUUCUUCACAAAGCUACUGUACUUAACAUCUUGGAGAAAGACUCACGAGCAGUGGAGAGGCUACAGUUUCCUGACUUUUGAUACCAAUACAAGAGGCCUGAUAACUGUUCCACCCACCUGCACCACCUUCUGUGCUUGAAUAUCGACAACCAGCAGUCGGCUCAGGAGUGGUUGGGUCACAUAGAUGUACUUAUCCCUGAUGUUGACUGCUGAGGACCACACGCAGUGCUGAGGUGACACUCCUUCACCUUUAGGGCACAUCUCCUCCUGGGAAGAACCAACAGAGAACAGAGAGGAUGAUGGGAGUAGGAAGAGAGCAACAGAGGGAGAAAAAGAAUGUUUGCAACUGCAGUCAGCCAUCGAGCAAUAAAAAGGAAAUGGGGGGGGGAGAGAACAUUAGAACAUUAAAUCACCUUAAGAAAAAAAGAGACAGAUCCUCCAAGAAACAGAGGAGGUGAUUUCUCUCAUGCCAUGCCAAGACAAAACAUAUUUGACAGCUACAAAAUGUUCCUCACUGCUGUUGACAAGAACCAUACUUCCUCCUAAAUCAAGAGAUCACUCUUAUCUUGAGAGAAGACAAGUCAUCGAUUAUUCUGUUUAAUUUCAAGUCAAUUUAAGAUCUUUCUAGGUAGCGAUGGUUAACUCAUCAAAAUGACGCAAUCUAAUGAAAGACCAAAUAUCAAAGAAACAUAAAAUAUGAUUUAAUUGUUUAAAACUUUGUAUUUCAAUGAGAUUGCCUUUUACACUACCCACAGUCAGAAUAGAGAAUAUAUUGACUCAUCCACUGAUCCUUUUGCAGUAUGAAAACAGAAAAACACAGUUAGAAAUAAAUCCAACUUCUGGAUUGUCCUGUCAAAGUGUUUUUUACUCACACCACAUAAAAGGAUACGAAAAUUCCUAAAAUAAGUGGUCUUUUCUGGUUUUCAGAUGUUCUUCAGUGAUUUCUGCACAUUGUGUGACCUUUGCUGUGUUUCCUAAUAUGCACAACAUGGUAUUUUUAUGAAUCUUUAUUUGUGCUUAUGGGAGUCAGAUCUGAGUGCCCUCAUCUUAUGCUACAUGUACUAUAUAUUUCUUAUGCUGGGAUCAGACUACACAAUGUUUUUAUCAUUUGGAAUGGUCACUGUCAGAUUAGGUGACCAUAAAUUCUUGCUUUGAGUCAUGUGACAAUCAUAGUUUGCUGUAAUUCAUGCAAAUACCGACUUCACUGCUCCACCACCAACAGCACCAACACCAGAUGUUUACAUAUUUAAACAUGGUUUUAUGAAAUAAAGUGAACCAGGAUCCAUUCAGUGUCACUCGGCGCUGAAGGUGGACUCCUUUUCCUUUGCAGUUGGUAGAAAAAGGCUGAGUGUGUGGGUUUGCAGUAUACAUAUGUGUACUUUUCCGUUUUUCAGCCAUCUGAAGGCAUAAGUAAUCACCUGACAGUCAGUCAUUUGACAUGAAGCAGUUUUUGUGCUUAUUAGCUCUAAUGUUUACUGCAGUAAUAAUGCAGAAGUUACAUGGGGCAUUUGUAAAGGCUCGUCCAUACAGGAAGAUUUUCAGCCGCCACUUAAAUACUACUUACAGUUAUAUCUGACUGGCAGCCACGCCAUUAAGAUUUACACCAGCAUAAAAAAAAUCAUAAACUCUCAUCCUCCUUUUUGGCAUUGUCUUUGACAGAUAAGGUUGAAAUGUUAUUUUGAAUUUACUGGUAUAUGUUUUUACUUUCUACAGUAAAAGGUGAAAUUUGACAGUG